GCCUGGUGGUUUCCUCGAGACAGCUCUUCUGUGCUGAUCCGUGGGUUUUAUUAAACGGGCACACAUCGAUCUCUGCGAUUUCAAUGCUUGGAGGUCGCUGCUCCCGUGCGGCUUCCACAGCCCGGUUGCAGAAACACGA